rnacentral:rRNA from 1 species
UAUUCCCCACUGCUGCCUCCCGUAGGAGUCUGGGCCGUGUCUCAGUCCCAAUGUGGCCGUUCACCCUCUCAGGCCGGCUACUGAUCGUCGCCUUGGUGAGCUUUUACCUCACCAACUAGCUAAUCAGACGCGGGACCAUCCUGUACCACCGGAGUUUUUCACACUGUAAGAUGUCUUACUGUGCGCUUAUGCGGUAUUAUCAGCCGUUUCCAACUGCUAUCCCCCGGUACAGGGCAGGUUUCCCACGCGUUACUCACCCGUCCGCCACUCAGUACAAGGUCUUCCGUCCGAAAACUUCCGUCCUUAUACCUCGUUCGACUUGCAUGUGUUAAGCACGCCGCCAGCGUUCAUCCUGAGCCAA